GAUGAACGCUGGCGGCGUGCCUAAUACAUGCAAGUCGAGCGGACAAGCGUGGUUCUUGUUCCUAUGGCGUGAGCAGCGAACGGGUGAGUAACGCGUGGGUAACCUGCCUAUGAGCGGGGGACAACAUCGGGAAACCGAUGCUAGUACCGCAUAAAAACUUGAAACAAAAGUUUCAAGAGUGAAAGACGGAAUUGCAUUACCCUAACAGGCUCACGCGGUCUCUGAGCUAAUUGGUGAGGUAAAAGACAUACCAGGCGAAGAUACAUAGCCGACCGGAGAGGGGGAUCGGCCAAAUUGGGACUGAGACACGGCCCAAACUCCUAAGGGAGGCAGCAGUAGGGAAUCUUCGGCAAUGGACGAAAGUCUGACCGAGCAACGCCGCGGGAGUGAAGAAGGUUUUCGGAUCGUAAAACUCUGUUGGUAGAGAAGAACGUUGGUGAGAGUGGAAAGCUCAUCAAGUGACGGUAACUACCCAGAAAGGGACGGCUAACUACGUG
rnacentral:rRNA from 1 species